GCAUAAUCUCUACGGUGAAAAGCAGGGGAUCGCAAGACCUUGCGCUCUUGGAGCGGCCGAUGUCUGAUUAGCUAGUUGGUGAGGUAAAGGCUUACCAAGGCGACGAUCAGUAGCUGGUCUGAGAGGACGACCAGCCACACUGGGACUGAGACACGGCCCAGACUCCUACGGGAGGCAGCAGUGGGGAAUUUUGGACAAUGGGGGAAACCCUGAUCCAGCCAUGCCGCGUGAGUGAAGAAGGCCUUCGGGCUGUAAAGCUCUUUCAGCCGGAACGAAACGGUCACGGCUAAUACCUGUGAUCACUGACGGUACCGGAAGAAGAAG
rnacentral:rRNA from 1 species